rnacentral:rRNA from 1 species
UACAGAGGUCCCAAGCGUUGUUCGGAUUCACUGGGCGUAAAGGGUGCGUAGGUGGUGAGGUAAGUCUGUUGUGAAAUCCCGCAGCUCAACUGCGGAACUGCAUCGGAUACUAUCUUGCUAGAGGGUUUGAGGGGGGACUGGAAUUCUCGGUGUAGCAGUGAAAUGCGUAGAUAUCGAGAGGAACACCAGUGGCAAAGGCGAGUCCCUGGAAAACUCCUGACACUGAGGCACGAAAGCUAGGGGAGCAAACAGG